GUUCCGUAGGUGAACCUGCGGAAGGAUCAUUAUUGUAUAACCGAGGUGCGAGGGCUGUCGCUGACCCGAAAGGUCGUGCACGCCUGAGUGCCCUCACACACAUCCAUCUCACCCCUAUGUGCACCACCGCGUGGGUCCCCCUUUGGCUUGUUCGGAGGGGGGCUUACGUUUUCACACAAACUUUGUAUGCAGUGUAGAAUGUAUUUUUUGUUUUUGCGAUCACGCAAUCAAUACAACUUUCAACAACGGAUCUCUUGGCUCUC
rnacentral:misc_RNA from 1 species